GAGUGAGCGCACGGGUGCGUAAGCGUAUGCAUCUACCUAUAACUGGGAUAGCCUCCGAAAGGAGAUUAUACCGAUGAUAUCACGAACGGCAUCGUUUUGUGAUCAAAACUCGGUGGUAUAGAUGAGCAUGCGUGACAUUAGCUAUUGUGAGGUAACCGGCUCACCAGCGACAUGUCUAGGGGUCUGAAGGAUGGUCCCCACAACUGGUACUGAGACACGGGACCAGACUCCUACGGGAAGGCCAGCCAGUAGGAAUUAUUGGACAAUGGCCGCAAGGCUGAUCCAGCCAUGCCGCGUGAAGGAUGAAGGUGCUAUGCAUUGUAAACUUUCUUUUUGUCCCCGGAAUAAACCCCUGAUUUCUAUCCGGGGCUGAAUGUACGGGAAGAAUAAGGGACGGUAACUUCGUGCCACAGCCGCGGUAAUACGAAGUCCCCAACGUUAUCCGGAUUUAUUGGGGUUUUAAAGGGGUGGCGUAAGGCCGGGGUUGUUAAGUUCCAGUGGUGAAAAGCCUUACCAGUUCAAUUGUAGAAAUUGCCAUUUGGAAUUACUGGACGAUCUUGGAGUUAAUGGUUUGAGGUGGGGCGGAAAUGGUGUCCUUGG
rnacentral:rRNA from 1 species